UACAGAGGUGGCAAGCGUUGUUCGGAAUUACUGGGCGUAAAGGGCGCGUAGGCGGUCUUGCAAGUCCUGUGUGAAAUCCCUCGGCUCAACUGAGGAACUGCACAGGAAACUGCUUGGCUUGAGUUCGGGAGAGGGAAGCGGAAUUCCGGGUGUAGCGGUGAAAUGCGUAGAUAUCCGGAGGAACACCGGUGGCGAAGGCGGCUUCCUGGACCGACAUUGACGCUGAGGAGCGAAAGCCAGGGGAGCAAACGGG
rnacentral:rRNA from 1 species